rnacentral:lncRNA from 1 species
UUUGGAAACACCUAUAUAAACAUAUGGGUGUGCUUUGCAGAGUUGUCUCUAUAAGUGUGGAAACAUGUGAGUUUUGUGGAGUAGUCUCUACAAAUGUACUCUCCUCUUUGUUUUGGUAAGGUUUGUAUUCAACAUAGAGUAUUCAAGCAACAGUAAACAUGGAUUUCAUGGGAGAGACUUCUUCAAUUUCUUGUACCAUCAUUCGAAGCAUCUCUCUAAAUGUAAGCCAUCACACCACCACCAACACCAUUGCUUUGUUACCUUUAACCACCAAUCGCUCCACCAUAUACCAUGCCCUUCUCUAUUUUUCAUUCUCUGUCUCCCUAAGAAACCAUGGAAAAGAUCGUUUUAUAGAUCCUAUGUUUAAUCACCCGAUGUUCUAAAGUUUACUGUUUGCGUUUUUUCCUAGGCUUUGCUUUGUUUUUUCUGCCAUAUUUUCUACUCUUGUGUUUGCUAAUUCUCCUUCCCAUGUUUCCAUAAAAAAAUCACAUAUUUCUUCGGAGAUUUGAACAAUAUGUUCGAUAAUCGCUUUUGGGUAUCUCUCUAUUUUUUCACUUUAGUUUCUAAUUAGAAAUUAAUUUCUUUUCAAUUAGUUUAUUUGGAUUUUGAAAUUGGUUUGUUUGUUUAUUUUUGUAUUUUCUCUGUUGGAUUUUUCAUUGAUGGCCGAUAUAUCUAAUAGAACAUUUGAUAACCAUUAAACUUUAUCAUUUAUGGGUGAUACUUGAGAUGGAUAUGAAUGUGAUUUUUUUGUUCAUUCUUCUUCUACUUGCCUUAGAUUGAUGAUUACCGAGAUGAGUUUUUGAUAAAAUGAAUGAUCAGUUUUUUUUAGAAAAAACCCUAAAUUUUCAAAUGUGUUGAAAAUAUGCUUACAGUUUAAUUUAUUGCUCUUUUCUAUAGUCAUUUUGUUUAUUUCGCUACAACGGGUUUACUUGAAGUUUAAUUUCUCGACAAAAAUGGCAGUUUACACAGCCCAAUUGGAGUAAGUCUGUGUAUUAUUUUGGUGUAGGGUGUUGACCAUUUUUCAUCUUCUUUUAAAUGAAACCAUUUUCAUUUUCUGGAAAUUAUUUGACUAAAACAAUGAAUUCGAUGAAUGUUUAGACUUGUUUUUUUAUGUGAUUUUAUCUUUUGGGGUGUAUGUUGUGGAUGGCUUGAAUGCUGUGAAUAGUUUAGACCAAAAUUUGCUUUUUAAUUAAAUGGUUUUAUUUCAAUUUCGCCUAUUUUUUUGACAAGUUUAGAAUAUUAUUUGAUUGAUGCUAGGAGUUUCAUAUUUGAAUAUUAAUAUUUUGUUGCCAAUCACAUUUUUUCGUUUUUUUCCUGUAAUUAUUGGUAUUAAAAGUAGCUAACGAAUCUCGAAAGUGCAAAAAUUGAUGAGCAUUUGGUUAUUGAGCAAGUCUUAAUAUAUAUAUAUAUANNNNNNNNNNNNNNNNNNNNNNNNNNNNNNNNNNNNNNNNNNNNNNNNNNNNNNNNNNNNNNNNNNNNNNNNNNNNNNNNNNNNNNNNNNNNNNNNNNNNNNNNNNNNNNNNNNNNNNNNNNNNNNNNNNNNNNNNNNNNNNNNNNNNNNNNNNNNNNNNNNNNNNNNNNNNNNNNNNNNNNNNNNNNNNNUGACAAUUAGCUAACUUGUGAUAACACAUGCCAAUGUUGUUUUAUAAUAUAAUUGAAGAUGUUGUUUUAGCUAACUCAUGAUAAAGCUGUCAAAGUUGUUUUAUAAUAUAAUUGAAGAUGGUCGGUGGAACAAUCUCUAUAAUACUUAAUGUGGUUUAAGGUUUCACCUAUAAUCUCUUUGUAAUUGCAACAUUUCCAUUUUAGGUAAAAGAUUCUUAUUGAUGCUACUAUUGAAGGGUGUUUUAGAAUCUUAAUUAACAUUAGUCACAAGCGUUUGAGUAAAAGUGAUUAUGAUUAAAAUUGAAACCAUAAUGUUGUAAUAGAAAUAAAUGAAAGUAGAUGCUACAAUAAACAAAUAAUUAAAAGUACGUCAUUAUUUUUUUUAUCUCUUUAAAAUAUUACACCUAAAAUAAGAUAAUUUAUGAUUCCUUGACUUGUUGUAACACUCCACUCUUCAAAGUAUAUUAAAUAACAAAAUAUUUAUUCUAACAUCUUCCAACAUCAAAAUUCUAUCUAUUAUAAGUAAAAAAGAAAGUACAUUGUUAUUAUUGGAAAAGCAAUGUAUGUUUAUUGCCAUGAUGGGUAAGAAGUCAUGUACACUGCCCAUAUUGUUAACAAGAGUAAAAUACAAUAACAAUUAUGCUCUUCACGAUUGGAUCAAGGAGCAAUGGUAAAUAAUUUUUAUAUUAGGUCGAUUGAUGGUGUUGCCAAUAAGAACUUUUUUGGUUGUUAUGUGUAAUGGUUACAAAACUUCUUAGGGUAAAUUAUAGAAAAUAACAACAUACUUUACCUUUUUUUAACCAAUAUAGGUUUUUUUAGAACGGAGAUUUAGUAUAUGCUUGUGAUUGAACCAAAGACCUCCUUGUUAGACACCUUGGUUAACCCUAACUUGUACCAAUAUAGGUAAUGCAUUUUAUCUUUUAGCCAUCAUAUCAAUGUACUUCUAGUUUUAACCGAUGAUAGUAAUAUACUUACAUUUACGUAGCUUAUAAUGUUAACAUACUUAAUUUUUCCUUACACACAUUAGCAACACACUCAUAAUUCGCUACUCAUAGUAGGGACGUAUUUUUAGUAUUUUAUCGUACUAGCUACAUUGCUAUUAUACGUAAAGUAUAAAGUAACUUACUGAUAAAAGUAAGGAAAUUAUGAAAAAAAAAAUAAAGUACACUGCAUAAUGGUUGCGAGAAUAGUAUACAUUGUUAUUUCUCGAAAUUCGUCCAACUUACUAUAUAAUGUCUCAUCUAAUUGUAAUUAUAAGAUUAUAAUGUUUUUUGCAUUUAUUUAUUGAUUUAUUAUUUCAGGUAUGUCUACAUACCAAAGUUGUAUAAAGUCAGUGAGUUGUUUCCAGUCAAAUUAAUUAGCAAAAACUGAAAAGGAUUUCAUGUUACUUCUAUGACAACAACUGGCAAUCCAUGAAAGUGAAUAUAGAACUACAAUAAUAUAUCACUCAUGAAAAAAUCCAAGUGAUGGGUUUGCUUUUGAAGUUUUUAGAUUAUUUAAAUCAAUGGUUUCAGAUCACAAUGAGUCUUGCCUACCUAACGAAUAUAUAUCUGGAUUGGUGCUUUCUUCUCGUUUAAACAUUGGGUACCUUUUAUUAGGAAGACAAUUUCAUGAUUACCUAUUGAAAUUUGGAUUAGUGUUCAAUCAGUACAUGAAAGCUGCACUUGUAUGCUUGUAUUCCAUGUUGUCGGACGUGGUAGGGGGUAUGGAGCUUUUACAUUGUAAACUAUAACAUGUUGUCGAACGUGGUAGGGGGUAUGGAGGUUUUACUUUGAUUUAUGCUUAUUGAGUAGAAGGGAUGAUGAAAGAAGCAGUUUAGCCUUCAAUAAAAUAAGGAUGGAGGGAUUCAAGCCAAAUGAGAAAACAUGGCUAGGGAUUCUAUCUGCUUGUGAUCAAUCAGGGCUGGACAAGGAGGAAAAAGUUAUUUUCUUAACAAUGGUGCAUAAGUUUGGGAUAAGAGUCGAUCUUAAAUGAUCGAUGUGAUUUCCAAUGCUACGUCCAAAGAUAUUAUGCAAAAAAUGUUUCUCGACUUUUUACGAUCAAGGUCUCUAAAAGUUAAUGAACAUACAUUAACACUAAUUCUCUCUUUAGUGGAGGAUCAUAAUUUGUGUUCCAUGAUACACUUGUAUGCUAUGAAGAACUAUUUGUAUGGUGUAAGGGUAAAUGUUUUCAUUAUAUCAGACUAUGUUAGGUGUGCUUGGAUCAUAAUGGCUAUUAAAGUGUUUGGUGAUAUGGAUAGGGCUAUGUUAAAUGUGUAUUCCGAUAAUAGAUUGAUUUAUGCUUAUGGAGUAUAAAGCAUGAUGAAAGAAGCGGUUUAGCCUUCAAUAAAAUAAGGAUGGAGGGAUUCAAGCCAAAUGAGAAAACAUGGCUAGGGAUUCUAUUUUCUUGUAAUCAAUCAGGGCUGGAAAAGGAGGCAAAAGUUAUUUUCUUAACAAUGGUGCAUAACUUUGGGAUAAGAGUCGAUCUUAAACACUUUAAUGGAAUGAUCAAUGUGAUUUCCAAAAUAGGUUCUUUGGAAGAAGCAUAUUAACUGAUCAUAAUGAUCCUAGUUUUUUGGCAAAAAAUUGUACAAAGUUUGAUGAUGCUAAGCUUUGCCUUGAAGCUUUAAAGAGGAUUUCAAAACUAAAUAGAGCUCAUAUGAAGAUGUGGGCAAUUUUGAUGAGGUUGGUAAAAUUUCAGAAAAAAGCGCAGAUUCAGAAGCAGAUCAUAUUGGAGUGUCUUUUGUGGGAAAAUAAAUUUAGAAGAAACAAAACGUCUUUGAUUGUUUGUGUAUUUUGACCUUUAGUGCAUUCUCAAAUGUUAUCUUCAAGUAGGAUGUUACUUUGAUUCUUUGUGUAUUUUGGCCUUUUAGGCAUUCUCCAAGGUUAUAUUAAAAUAGAAUGCUAUUAAUACAUAAAUUGUUUGUGAUUUUAUAUCACUAAUAUUAUGUAAGUGUAAUGGGGUUAAUUUUUUGAUCAAUGUCACUUUGACAACUAUUGAACAAAUCGGUAUGGUGCAAAGUGCACAUUUGUUAAAUUUUGUCUUUGUGGAAAGUAUAUUGCUAUUUAGGGGUGAAGCCCCUGAAAUAACGGGGGUUCGGGGGCAGCGCCCCUGGGAGCGGGGUCCAAGGUACGAAAGCCUUGGCUGGGGUCGACCUUUUUUGGUAGAUGCAUCAGAAAUCCAGAUUUUUGGUAAAUGCACUCGGUUUUGUGACCCAUAUUCUAGACCCAGAUUUAAGUUGGUUUAUGACCGUUUUUGGACAGUUUUAGGUCAUAAAACUCUCAUGUGGCAAAUUUAAGACAUGAAGUUUUUCUUGUUAUAUGAUCAUUUUCGAAAUCAGUUUUGGGACUCUUCUUCUUCUUCUUCUUCAUAACAUCUUGAACAUUCUCUCUUCUGUUUCUAUUUUUUUCUGAGUCUUAUCCGAUUAAAGAUUGGGAGUACCACCCAAAUACUUUAAUUUGAAAGUGUUAUACAUGAUUUUCAGAAUUUCCAAGUGUUUCUACCCCUAUUUUAUAACAUAAAUAAAUGAAACGGUAUUGCUAUCUCUUGCAUUUAGCCUUCUAACCAUUGUUUUAUGAAAGAUCAGUGUGUAAAUAAAUCAUUAUUGGAUUUCGGAGUGUUAAAUACAUCUGUUUAGUUAGUGUUUUUUGUUUUUUGUUUUUUUUUUUGCAUAUUUUGGAAGAAUGGUGAUUUGUUCACAACAAAAGCCAAGUAUGAUAGUUUUGUUUUUCAUUAUUGAAGGAAAUAUAAGACAUUUUCAACAGCCUGCAUAUAGUAGUCUAUUGCAGUUUGAAAAUUCAAGACAUUUGCUACAUCCCGUUUCUUCUUGGAGUUCAACAUUUCUACAUCUAGUUUGUCCACAUAUAGAAAGAGAGCUGCAAGACAUUUUCAACAAAAAAAAAUCAUGAAUGACAUGAAAGUUGACUUUGAAAAGAAAAGGUCAAACCAAAAGAGCAAAACCUCGGUUGUUACUCCCUCAUCAUCUUUGUAGGCUAAAUUUUCCAAGUUUUUAUGUAUGGCUGUCAAAUCCAUUCUCAAGCAGGUUUCACCGAGCGGGGUAGAGGCAGAGCAGCAGCACCACCGCCUUGUGUUAUGCCCAUGAAUACAUGAUAAGGUUUUUGUGAAGUGAUAUUUAACAUAAUAAGUGGUGUAUAGAUAAAGUGUUGUCUGGAUAAAAUAAAUAUAAAUGAUGUUUAAAAGAUACCUAUCUUUCCUUUUGGUGACAUUUCAGACUAUUAACCGCAUUUUCACUCAGGUUUAUUUAUGUAUUUCACCUUUUAUUAUUUUUCAUUUUGUGAUUUAUUCUGAUAAUACAAUUGGAUACACGUACUUAAUGUAGGUAUGAUUGGCUGGCGAAAAAGCACAUUCCAUCUGGAUAUUUUUU